AAUUAAGGGGGGAGAGGCCCAUUUCAAUUAAAUCAUGUCCAUUUGGAGAAGGGCCAUCUUAAUUACACCAAGCCCAUUUCUAUAAAUCAAAUACAUCAUCAAUAAAUCAGGCCCAAUGUUGGAAACAAAGUAUAGGCCCAAUUUUAGUCACUUUAGACAUAUCAAGUCCAUUUCUAUAAGUAGACCACAAAAUCAAUUCGGCCCAAACUUUGAAUUGAUUUUUUUUUUUCUUUUUUUUUAAUCAAAUCCAUUUAUUGUCUUCACAUUUUUUUUUGAAUCAAAUUCGGCCCAAUUUUACUUCUUUUUUGCAGUUGGCAGCGGCGAAAGCUUGGUGAUUAACGACCUUGGAGGGUUAUGUUCAAGAUUGGCGCAGUCUUGCCCCAAACGAGAUGCUUUGAGUAUUUGCAAAGUUUGGAAUCUAUUGUCAUUUUUUCUUUCAGACUUGACAUCUCCAUCAGCCCGACUAAAGACCAUCCUCAGAGAGUUCAUCCAAAAAAUCUGACAGCAGCCCAUCUAAGAUCUUAUUUGAGUGAUGUUUACUUUGCACUUCAGGUGGCUCAAUUGGCUUUUAAUCAGAUUUCGGGUGCGCUCGGAUCUGGGCCAUUGUGAGUCCAACCUUUGAAGAUUGCUGGUUACAUUUUCUCUUUGCGCGCAUUCGAGCAGGCUAGAUGACUCAAUGGUGUUCUAUUAUGUUUGGCGAACAUGUGUUUCAACUUCACGAGCGGAUUCAACUUUAGCUUGGAGAGAAGUGAAUUUGUCGAUGCAUAGCCGACCUCAAUGCCAGAUGACUCAAUUCUUUGACAGGUCUUGGGUGCGCUCAGGCCUGGGAUUGUUUGAAUCUGGUUUGAGUGAGGUUGUUGUUAUGUUUGGCAUCUCACGAAGUUGGGAGAAUUCUGCAGGCUCGAGAAGAUUGAGUAUUUUCUUCUUGAUGCUUAAGCCAAGGAGAAUGAAGCCAUCGUCCGAAUUGCUUUGAUCAAGGAAGUGCUUGCUAUGAUAGAGAGGUGGAAGACAGAGAUGACGUUGUCCUUCAAGCAAGAUAGUGCCUCCUUUCAUAUUGUCCGAGGUGCAAUCCCAGAAUUCAAAAGAGAGUUUGACAAACAUAAAGUUGCACAUGUUGAUGAGGAAAUGCUGCGGAAUUUUGAAGACUUCAGAGUCACUUUUGAUCUCUGCUCAGAGAACUUUGGAGGAUCAAAACCCAUUUACUUAGUAUUGGUGCAAACCGCAGUUUCUAUCAUUUCUCUCUUGAUGCUUUUUAUUUGGUUUGUGAUGGAUAUUUUGACAUCUUCUCCAAAUGCUUGUGCUUCUUUUGAUGGCUUGAUUUUCUUCCCAAUUUGAGACAUAUUCGGCUUCACAUAAUCAACUUAAAUCAUAACUUUGAUGAUAUAAAUUGAAAAGAGUCAAACACAAUUCAUGACUGAACUUAGAAAUUAUCUAAGCUGCCUACGUACCCUUUUGAAAGGGAUCAAGUCAAAACGUAGUUCAUAG
rnacentral:lncRNA from 1 species